AUGAACGCUGGCGGCGUGCCUAAUACAUGCAAGUCGAGCGAACAGACGAGGAGCUUGCUCCUCUGACGUUAGCGGCGGACGGGUGAGUAACACGUGGAUAACCUACCUAUAAGACUGGGAUAACUUCGGGAAACCGGAGCUAAUACCGGAUAAUAUAUUGAACCGCAUGGUUCAAUAGUGAAAGACGGUUUUGCUGUCACUUAUAGAUGGAUCCGCGCCGCAUUAGCUAGUUGGUAAGGUAACGGCUUACCAAGGCAACGAUGAGUAGCCGACCUGAGAGGGUGAUCGGCCACACUGGAACUGAGACACGGUCCAGACUCCUACGGGAGGCAGCAGUAGGGAAUCUUCCGAAAUGGGCGAAAGCCUGACGGAGCAACGCCGCGUGAGUGAUGAAGGUCUUCGGAUCGUAAAACUCUGUUAUUAGGGAAGAACAAAUGUGUAAGUAACUAUGCACGUCUUGACGGUACCUAAUCAGAAAGCCACGGCUAACUACGUG
rnacentral:rRNA from 1 species